UUAUUUCAAAUCACAUCUGAAAAAAAAUCAUCAAUAUGAUUUAUACAACGUGCGGUAAGGGUAGUCGCAACAUCUAAAUAACGUCACAUGAAAGACUUCCCCUUCGUUUCAUUAGAAAAAUAUUUCAGACUGACGAACAUAUUCACAUAUCUCACUUUCUUUAAGAAAUCUUGGCACCCACAGUGACAUUUUUCAUAAUUUAGUAUUCAAAAUUCUUUGCACAGUACCAUAGGAUAAAAGUAAAAGUUUUGGUCUUUCUGUCCUUCUUUGGUAAUUCAAUCUCCCAUAACCCGCCAAAUAUAGCUGAAACCAUCUAUAAAUUAAUCUCUUAUUUGCAUUCGUUUUUGUUCUGCAAACGCUACUGUCUCUCCUGGCGAUUUUCCAUUUUGACAACUCCUUGUGGCUUUUUAAAAAAAAAAUUAUUUCGACGUUUCCUUUGAUUAAUGCAUCAGCGUAAACCAACAAUGUUUAUGAUCAUAAAUAGCAACGAUGUCAUUUUAUUUUCAACGGAAGUCGUAACAUGUCGUAAAAUUUGUCGUUUUCUUAAUAUUGGGCCAUUAAACGCAUUUAAUUAGAUCCUUUUUAAUGUUUUUGUCUUUUUUAUUCUAAAAAUAUACACUUUAAAACCCGAUUUUAAUUUCUUUCACUUCUAGGAUAUUUUUAUACGAAGGAUGAUCAAAAAGUUCGCGAACUAUCUCUAUUUACAAAACUAAAAUUCAGAUCAGAAUAAAAUUUACACACGUGAAGUCAUACACAUAUUCUUUAAAUAACAUAUAUAAUUUAAUGUUUUUGCGUCAUGUUUUUGACGCCAAUAUGUGAAAAUGACGUCAAAAAUGGUUGAUCAAGUCUUACUAGAGCAAAAAAUAUAAUUAAAAUUACACUGACAUCUAACAACAUCACAUAAAGGGUCACCUCAGAGGUCAAAUUCUAUCAACCAAUCAAAUCGUUGCUUGUAAAAUGAUCGUAUGUUUGUGGAAAGAAUUUGUAAGUCUAGAGUUAUUGCGAAUUUGACCUCUAACGUGACCCUUUAUGGAAAGUUGUUAGAUGUAAGUGUUAACGUCUAACAUCUAAUUUUAAUUAUAUUGUCGAGCAACGAAUGGCUUUAAAGUUAAAUGUCAAGUAAAAGAUUAAAGUUAACCUCUCGUCUUGCCUUUUCUUCCGUGUGUUCACAAUUGAAUCCGUCAGAAUAGCCUAGCAGCUGCCAUCGUCUUAUUUAUAUAAACAUGGCUUAUUCUACCCACUAUAGGGGUGAUCCGCCUAUUGGAAGAGUCUAUUUUCCUAUAUCCCCUCCGGUUCCAAGAUAGUAGGCAUAGCCACAAUCGCUACAAUAGCGUUUAUUUCAAACUUUAAACAUAGCAUAUAUGGUUAAAAGAAGGCACUAAUACGUUAUCCACAUUGAAUAAACGACGCUCCCUAGACAAAUGACUCGGGUUAUGAUGGUCACCGUACUCAUUCUGGAAAAAGACAUCCUUAUCCACCGAUACUUUUGCCGAGGUUUGGCCAUUUCUGACAAAAACACUAAAUGACUUGCAUAGAAAGAGAAAAGAGUCGGGAAAAUCUUUUAGAGUCUGUGACAGAACGCUACGGAGCAUGUCACGUGACCGCCUCCAACACGUGAUUCGCGCAUGAGCAGAACGGUUGAAGAUGCGCCUAAAAAUCGGAUGACUAUUUUUAAAAAAUUUAAACAUUGAAACCCUGUACUAUCAUUUCUUUUAUGGAAGUUAUUCAAUUGGUUCGCGAAUUUUUUGAUCACCCCUCUUAUAUUGAAAGGUAAGGUACUUCAUAAAUGUGAAUAUUAUAUAAACUAUCAUUUACAUUAAUAAAAUAGUGAAAUGAAUAUGAGACAAAUUCUUUUUUAUAUAUUAUAGUUUAGGAAGCAUAGGAAAGGAUAGUGAAGAAAGUUAAUGCUGUCUUUUGGCAUUAUAAGAUAUUGGUGAAUUUUAAUGUUAUAUACUGAUAAUUAGUAUUAAUAAAACAACAAGAUCAUUUUACUUGCAAUAUUUACGUCAAAUUCAGCACAAAAAGACACUUUUACCAUCCCUGAUGCCUGUGACUUUACCUUGACCCUAUCAAGUCUAGUUGCCGCAAUUAGCAUUGUUGUCAUUGGAAGUGUCAUAAACGUUGUUCUUUGGAAAAGGAAUCAACCAACAAAUACUAAGAAAGAACAAAGCGUUAGUCAGAAGAAUCAAAUCAUAGACGACCAUUACACAGUAAAUCCUGGCAGCGAAGAUAAGUUCAAUUCAACAUAUGCUGAGCUUAAAGACAUUGGUGGUCAUGAAGCCUACGAAAAACUGCGUCAAUCUCAUUGUGCAGAAAAGAUUUUAUAAAUUGUAAUUUUCUUUAUGAAGCCAAUAACGUUGAGUUUGAUUCUAUUUGUUUGUUUGAAGUUACGAGGGGAAAG